AUUGAACGCUGGCGGCAUGCCUUACACAUGCAAGUCGAACGGCAGCGGGCCUUCGGGUGCCGGCGAGUGGCGAACGGGUGAGUAAUGCAUCGGAACGUGCCAUUGAGUGGGGGAUAACGUAGCGAAAGUUACGCUAAUACCGCAUAUUCUGUGAGCAGGAAAGCAGGGGACCGCAAGGCCUUGCGCUCUUUGAGCGGCCGAUGUCAGAUUAGCUAGUUGGUGAGGUAAAGGCUUACCAAGGCGACGAUCUGUAGCGGGUCUGAGAGGAUGAUCCGCCACACUGGAACUGAGACACGGUCCAGACUCCUACGGGAGGCAGCAGUGGGGAAUUUUGGACAAUGGGCGCAAGCCUGAUCCAGCCAUGCCGCGUGAGUGAAGAAGGCCUUCGG
rnacentral:rRNA from 1 species